rnacentral:rRNA from 1 species
UGGGAACCUUCCCUAUGGUUCGGAAUAGCUCAGGGGAAACUCGGGGUAAUACCGGAUAAGCCCUUCGGGGAAAGAUUUAUCGCCAUUGGAUGGGCCCGCGUCGGAUUAGCUAGUUGGUGAGGUAACGGCUCACCAAGGCAACGAUCCGUAGCUGGUCUGAGAGGACGAUCAGCCACACUGGGACUGAGACACGGCCCAGACUCCUACGGGAGGCAG